rnacentral:antisense_RNA from 1 species
UGAGAUGGAGUCUCACUCUGUCGCCCAGGCUGGAAUGCAAUGGCACAAUCUCGGCUCACCGCAACCUCUGACUCCCAGGUUCAAGCCAUUCUCCCUGUCUCAGCUUCCUGAGUAGCUGGGAUUACAGUCUGGGUGACAGAGAUUGAUUCUGUCUUAAAUAAAUAAAUAAAUAGUUGUAUCGCAUAUAUGGAGGAAAGAAAUGAUAAAGAAGAAAAAUUACAAGGUUACUAAUGAUUUCUUUUCAGCUAAGCUUUUGGUAAUGCUCAUCUUUUAAUGUUCUUUGGCAAACAGAAAUCAAACAAUUUUUACAACUGUUAUUAAUAUGCCUAAAGCAGUAUAGCAAAACAUUUUUCAUAAAAAAAGAGCAUUAUAAAAUCCUUAAAUAUUUAGGAUAGUUAUACACUUCAACUUCUCUAUUUAAGGGGUGGAGAAGAUGGAGAUUGAUGGAACAUGCCUAUUUUCUGA